AUAAAAUGUAGGCAAAUGAAUUUGAAAACUUUAUAGAAAAUGGUUAAUUUUCUAGAAAAAUACAUACAAUAACAAAACUGAUUCAACUAGAAACUGAAAAUUGCAAUAGACCUCAAAUCAUUGAGGAAUGGAAUUAGGAGUUUAAAUAUUUGCAUAAGGAAAAUACCAGUCUCAGAUAAUUUUAAUUGAGUUCUACCAAACAUUCAAAGAAGAAAUAAUCUAAUCUUACCUGAACUCUUUGGAAGGCUAAACUUUUUUAGAAAUAUACACAUAAAUGAUAAAACUAUAGAUAAAAUAAAAUUAAUAACAUAUUUUGGAUAAUUAUUUGUAAGCAGGAACCAGAAGGCAUUAUGUAGAGACAUGAAUGGGGAUUUAAUACUAUUGAUAAUGGCUUUUCUUUCCCCUCUCACCAUAUAUCCCCUCUUUACUCUCUUCUACCUCCACUCUUCCUCCCCCCUGCAAUCAUCACACUGUUGUCCCCCAUGAGUUCUCUCUCUCUCUCUCUCUCUCUCUCUCUCUCUCUCUCGGCUCAAUAAUGGUUUUAAAUCCUUUUUAUCUUAGGCUGAAUAGUGAAUAUAUGGGUACUUCUGUUAUUCUCUAUAUAUACUACAAAAUUCUUAACUAUUAGCAACUUCAAAAUAGUUUAAGACCAAAAUGCUUAACUUUUUUAUUUGAUUUUUCAAUAAAUUAUACAUUCACAUAGUUCAACAAUAAAAAAAUGUAGAAAGAUGAGAAGUGAAAAUUUCUUUCCCAUCCUUGUUUCAAUUCACUCAAUUUCUAACUCUCCCAACAACCAAUGUAUUAAUCCCUUUACAUUCUUCUGCAUGUCCUUAUUAUAGAAGCAAAUGUGAACAUUUAUUUUUAGUUCCUUCCCCAUGUUUUUACAUUAAGUAUAACAAUAUAACAUAUUCUGUACAAUAUUCUAUACCUUUUUUCUUUCUGAAUAUAUCUUAGAGAUCUUAUUAUUUCAGUAUAUAAGUGUUCCCUCAUUUUUUUUAGAUUUGUAUAGUAUUCUAGUUUAAGCAGAUUAUAUCAGAUCUUUAUAGUAUCUUUUCCAUGUAUAUGUCAUAUUUCAUAUUUUUUUUGCAUUUUUUUCCAACUUUUGUUCAUGCAAUUAUCCUUUGAAUACCAUCAUAGAAAUAAUAUUUAAAUAAAUCCUAUGA